UACGGGGGGGGCAAGCGUUGUUCGGAAUUACUGGGCGUAAAGGGCUCGUAGGCGGCCAACUAAGUCGGAUGUGAAAUCCCCAGGCUUAACCUGGGAACUGCAUCCGAUACUGGAUGGCUUGAAUUCGGGAGAGGGAUGCAGAAUUCCAGGUGUAGCGGUGAAAUGCGUAGAUAUCUGGAGGAACACCGAUGGCGAAAGCAGGUACCUGGACCAUUACUGACGCUCAGCUGCGAAAGCUAGGGGAGCAAACAGG
rnacentral:rRNA from 1 species